rnacentral:misc_RNA from 1 species
AGACCAGUUUCAGAAAUGUAUUAAAUUAAUAAAUAGAGAGAGAAAUGGGAGUAGAGGAGUAGUCUAUAAACCUUAUCAAAUUCAAAUUUUAGUUGGAUUGAAAUAAAAUUUUAGAAAAAGUAAUUAUUUUGUAUCUUGUGCACUUGUACAGAAAAUUUUAAUUAAACAAUAUAGGUGCAUUUUAAAUUUGUAGUGAAAUUUAUUUGCAUUUGAAGCCAUGGCCUUAACUUUAUACCGUUUGAAAGAGAGAGACUGUAGUGAAAUUAAAUAAGCUUGUAAUGAAAUCAGAAAACCUUCUACACCUAACGUACGCUCAAACCAACAAGUAAAAGGAAGAAGAAAACUUACAGCAUUUCCAUAGAUGUAAAAACCACAAACAAUGGUUAAUGCGGAGAAAACAAGCGUAAAUGUGAUGGACGAGGAAGAAGAAGAAGAAGAAGAA